AACGAACGCUGGCGGCAGGCUUAACACAUGCAAGUCGAGCGCCCCGCAAGGGGAGCGGCAGACGGGUGAGUAACGCGUGGGAAUCUACCCAUCCCUACGGAAUAGCUCCGGGAAACUGGAAUUAAUACCGUAUACGCCCUACGGGGGAAAGAUUUAUCGGGGAUGGAUGAGCCCGCGUUGGAUUAGCUAGUUGGUGGGGUAAAGGCCUACCAAGGCGACGAUCCAUAGCUGGUCUGAGAGGAUGAUCAGCCACAUUGGGACUGGGACACGGCCCAGACUCCUACGGGAGGCAGCAGUGGGGAAUAUUGGACAAUGGGGGCAACCCUGAUCCAGCCAUGCCGCGUGAGUGAUGAAGGCCUUAGGGUUGUAAAGCUCUUUCACCGGGGAAGAUAAUGACGGUACCCGGAGAAGAAGCCCCGGCUAACUUCGUGCCAGCAGCCGCGGUAA
rnacentral:rRNA from 1 species